AGAGUUUGAUCCUGGCUCAGAUUGAACGCUGGCGGAAUGCUUUACACAUGCAAGUCGAACGGCAGCACGGACUUCGGUCUGGUGGCGAGUGGCGAACGGGUGAGUAAUACAUCGGAACGUGCCCAGUCGUGGGGGAUAACGUAGCGAAAGCUACGCUAAUACCGCAUACGAUCUACGGAUGAAAGCGGGGGAUCGCAAGACCUCGCGCGAUUGGAGCGGCCGAUGUUAGAUUAGGUAGUUGGUGGGGUAAAGGCUCACCAAGCCGACGAUCUAUAGCUGGUCUGAGAGGAUGAUCAGCCACACUGGGACUGAGACACGGCCCAGACUCCUACGGGAGGCAGCAGUGGGGAAUUUUGGACAAUGGGCGCAAGCCUGAUCCAGCCAUUCCGCGUGCAGGACGAAGGCCUUCGGGUUGUAAACUGCUUUUGUACAGAACGAAAAGGCUUCUCCUAAUACGAGGGGCUCAUGACGGUACUGUAAGAAUAAGCACCGGCUAACUACGUGCCAGCAGCCGCGGUAAU
rnacentral:rRNA from 1 species